CCCUUAGAUGUUCUGGGCCGCACGCGCGCUACACUGACGAUGGCAACGAGUUUUUCCUUCGCCGAAAGGUGUGGGUAAUCUUUUGAAACAUCGUCGUGCUGGGGAUAGAUCAUUGCAAUUUUUGAUCUUGAACGAGGAAUUCCUAGUAAGCGCGAGUCAUCAGCUCGCGUUGAUUACGUCCCUGCCCUUUGUACACACCGCCCGUCGCUACUACCGAUUGAGUGGUCCGGUGAGGCUUUGGGAUCUGAGCAAAAAGAGCGUUUCGCUCGUUUGGCUCGGAAAACUCAGUCGAACCUUAUCAUUUAGAGGAAGGAGAAGUCGUAACA
rnacentral:rRNA from 1 species